AGUGAACGCUGGCGGUAGGCUUAACACAUGCAAGUCGAACGGCAGCACAGUAAGAGCUUGCUCUUACGGGUGGCGAGUGGCGGACGGGCGAGGAAUACAUCGGAAUCUACUUUUUCGUGGGGGAUAACGCAGGGAAACUUACGCGAAUACCGCAUACGACCUACGGGUGAAAGCAGGGGAUCUUCGGACCUUGCGCGAGUGAAUCAGCCGAUGUCGGAUUUGCUAGUUGGCGGGGUAAAGGCCCACCAAGGCGAGGAUCCGUAGCUGGUAUGAGAGGAUGAUGUGCCACACUGGAGCGGGGACACGGUCCCGACGCCUACGAGAGGCAGCAGUGGGGAAUAUUGGACAAUGGGCUGAAGCCUGAUCCAGCCAUACCGCGUGGGUGAAGAAGGCCUUCGGGUUGUAAAGCCCUUUUGUUGGGAAAGAAAAGCAGCAGGUUAAUACCCCGCUGUUCUGACGGUACCCAAAGAAUAAGCACCGGCUAACUUCGUG
rnacentral:rRNA from 1 species